UACGGGGGGGGCAAGCGUUGUUCGGAAUUACUGGGCGUAAAGGGCGCGUAGGCGGAUGGUCAAGUCUGGGGUGAAAGCCCAGGGCUCAACUGUGGAAAUGCGGGAGAUACUGUCAAUCUUGAGUCCGGAAGAGGGGGGUGGAAUUCCCAGUGUAGAGGUGAAAUGCGUAGAUAUUAGGAGGAACACCAGUGGCGAAGGCGGCUCGCUGGUCCGACACUGGCGCUGAGGUGCGAAAGCGUGGGGAGCAAACAGG
rnacentral:rRNA from 1 species